CAGAGGGAAAGUAAACCUCGUUUAGCUCCUCCCUUCCACGUUGCCAUCAUGCAUAUGGCAACUCCUCCAAGAACAUCACUCCAGACCUUCAAAAGGGAGAGUCCCAAACCAGAGACUGUCGUCCACUCUCCUCUUCUCGCCCUUUCUCUCUUUGCUGGGCACAUCAGUGUGUUUGCAUGCCUCGAAACUCCUAGUUAGGAACCUCCGAUCAAAAAACUUUCUUCAACAAAGUUGUUCGCCUAUGUCUCCUCUAUCUAGCCUCCAAAUUUCAGCUCCAUCGGAUUCGAUUUGAGACCUGUACACCCCUUGAAGCAGAAGCUGUUCGGAAGCGAGCCUGUUCCGGAUUUCUGCUUGAAUUCCCUCUCUUGCUCUACCCGAAUCCCUCACAUCUUACUUGAGACUGAUACAAACACUUGGUAAGAUUCUGGAACCAACAAGUUCCCCUUUCUUUCCUCGAUUUUAGGCUCAAUACAUUCAAAACAACUCGAUCUUCCACAUAUUGAGAAGUUUCUGUUUCACUCUGCAUGUUCGAGAUGGAGCGAAUUUCUUGACCUGCAACUGGGCUCGAUCCAAUCAGCUCCCUCAGCUCUCUUUCCUGUUGAAACCCUCAAGAAAAACUCACCUUUUUUAUUAGUCUUUGGCUCGAUACUGUGGUGGAAUCUUGUGAAGUUGGUGGUUGCUACAAGGUUGCAUUGAGGCCAAGUUCUGCAAGAGAAAGCUCGAGUUCCAGGUAGGGGAUGCCUUUAACUCUAUCUAUGCUUUUCUUGCAUAUACUAUGUUUUAUAAGAGGCCUCUUGCAUGGUUUUUGGAAAUUAUCUGUUUUACAAUUGAAAUGGUUUGCAUGGAUUGGAUUGAUGUGUUGGCAAUUGAUGGGGAUGUAAGGAGAGGUCAGUUCCUCCUUGAGCCACCGGUGGUGGGCAGUGUGCACCAUGCCCUUGUUAUUGAAUUACCCCCCUUGUCUCUAGCCUUGUGAUUAUUGAAUUCCGGAAAGUGAUUGGCUAGAUGGACGGUUAUGAUGAAUGUUGUGGAAGAAGAUCAAUUGCCAUGGAAUUGUAAUUACGUGGUGACGAUCACGUGGAAUCGCAAACUGGUUCUUAUCUAUUACUUUUUCUCAAAACGAUAAAUCAUAUUUUUAAACUUAGAUAUGGGGGCGGGCAUGGGCAAUGAUUGGAUGUAGGAGCCUAACCCCUACUUUAGUUUGUUGUCGAAGCUUGGGUACGGAGGAUAAUCCUUGGAGGCCAAAAUUUGUUUUGUUUAAAGUUUAUUUUAUUUGGCUUGUUUGAUUUCGUUAAAUUUUUGUAACGUUA